CAACUUGGAGGAAUGUAUAGCAAUAGCUAAUUGCAUCGAUGUUUAUGUAAUUGAUGCAAUAUCGACUAUGUCGAAUAAAAUUCUAGGUAGAAUUAUGAUAAUGACAUUGUCUGCCUAUGUGUCUUGACCAAAUUACGUGCCAGCAGUCGCGGUAAUACGUAGAAGACUAGUGUUAUUCAUCUUUAAUAGGUUUAAAGGGUACCUAGACGGUAAAUCAAGCCUGCAAUAAGGGACUAAUGUACUAGAGUUACUUACGAGGGGGUUUUAAAGUACUGCUGGUGUAGAGAUGAAAUUCUUUCAUACCUCGUUUCGUUUGAAACACUACGGCACAGGUAUAGGCGAAAGCAUCCCCUUAUGUGAUAACUGACGUUGAAGGACGAAGGCUUUUUGUAGCGAACAGGAUUAGAUACCCCAGUAGUCAAAGCAGAAAAUGAUGAAUGUCAUAGAUUAGACAUAUCAUAGUUUAUUCUAUAAAUGAAAGUGUAAGCAUUCCACCUCAAGAGUAAUUUGGCAACAUUGGAACUGAAAUCAUUAGACCGUUUCUGAAACCAGUAGUGAAGUAUGUUAUUUAAUUUGAUAAUCCGCAAAAAACCUUACCACAAUUUGAAUAUUUAUAUUUCUUUUAGGUGAAAAGAUAAUAUAUUUACAAGCGUUGCACGGCUGUCUACAGUUAAUGUCGUGAGAUUCUGGUUAGUUCCAUUAAUUAACGUAAACCCUUACUUUAUUUUUAAUAUAGAGUUGUUCCCCGCUAGAUUGGAUAAGAUAACAGGGACUAAGACAAGUCAUCAUGGCCUAAAUAUUGUGGGCUAUAGACGUGCCACAUAAACCUUACAAAAGGAUG
rnacentral:rRNA from 1 species